GUCUACGGCCAUACCACCCUGAAUGCACCCGAUCUCCUCUGAUCUCAGAAGCUAAGCAGGGUCGGGCCUGGUUAGUGCUUGGAUG
rnacentral:rRNA from 1 species